GGAUAAGUGACCUUCAGGUGUCAUUUGGAUUUAUUCAUCUCAUGACCACCUGUGACCUCAGAAAGAUGCUUGGCACAUCUCACCUGGCCCCUUGAUGACAUCACUGUUUCUCAAGUUGUCCUGUGUUUUUCAUCUCCAUGUCCCAGAUGAGCUUUCCUGAAGACCAAGUAUAAUGUUCCCUUCCUGACAUUUUUAACGGGAGAACGAAUUACCAUUAGAAAACAGACCAAAAAGCCACUCCCGCCCUGAGAACAGUCCUUUUUCUGUAGUCCUGCUACUGCGUAUAUGGAUUUCACUUACCACCAACCAAAGUGUUCCUUUUCUAAGAGGAGGACUGAUGCUUGUAAAGGACUAAGAAGAUUCUGGGCAUCUGGAGUCUCUCCUCGCUGCCAGCUCUUCAGUUAAAUAUAGUUGCAGGCAGUCUGUUGUGUGUAGGGGGAUAAAAAGCAGAUGGCUUUCAAAUCCCAUGUGAAGUUUCUGUAACUGUCAUUUAAAAGAAAACAUCUUUGACUUGUGCACCAGGCAAGUCUGAACUAAAACCACAGGGAAAGAGUAAAUAUGACCCUCCUCGUGCCUUUUUAGAGCCUCUUUUCUGUCCAUAACUGCUCUUGAAAUGUAAAUAAACACAGUUCUCUUAAUAUGUGAAUUUCUGCCCUAAGAACACUCUUAGGGAUUGCACAAAUAUUACCUCAGUGUAUAUUCAGACUUUAUUAAAACAAAUUACUGCACUACA